CUAUCGCAGGUAGAGUACUCUCGCAGGCAACACCUUCCCACGAUACGUAGGAAAAAAUUCAGGAUAAAGUAUAUAGCGAUCGAAAUAACCGUGACCUAACCAGGGUCUCCUCGUGAGUCGGGACCCUCCUCUCGCCGCCGCCACCUCCUCCCCUUCCUCGUCUCCUGCCGCCGCCACCUCCUCUCCUUCCUCGUCUCCUUCCACGCCCCUCCUCUGGCUUUCGAUCUCCGCCACCGGGCCUCCUCCUCUCUCCCACGGGCCUUGGGUGUGGCUCCGCGCGAGGCGCUACAGAUGAGAGGCGCGGCGGGCAGCCUUCGGGGAGCACCUGCCGUCGAGCAUGCGUAGACGCUUAUCAUCGUCGGCGGGCCACGAGCUUCUCCGGCACCGCCGCCGCGGUCGCGCUACCUCCAUCGUCUAAGCGAGUAUUGGAGGGAGGGCAUGGGCGUGAUUCCGGCGAGAUGUGGCUCGGAUAGAUGUCUGCGAUGCGGCAAUCAGAAAUCCUUUGGUUUGUCUUCCUCCUGAUUUGGCUUAAACCAUCCAGUAACAGGCCCACAAGUUCUGAGGCGUGAAGUUAAUGAUGCUGAAUUAGCUAACAAGAGAUGAGUUUGUGCACAUGUAUCUUCAGAAGUUUGAGUCAGUAGUAACUUAGUGUGGUGUAUUGCGACCUCAGACGCGACUCUUGUGGAUGUGGAUAUCACCUGAAGACUUGACUCGUAGAAAUCAUCUAAUAUGCCAACUAUGGCUUGGUGUUUCAUCUAUCUAAUAUGUAAAUUGUCAGCAUGAACUCUGAAAUACUUGGGUUAAUUCGGCAGUUUAAACUUUCUCAAUUGAUUAGAAUCCACCUCCCAUUUGACUUGGUGUGGACGUCAAAUUUCAGUUUGAGCCUUAAUCAGUAUCUGUUGUGGCAGUGGUGUGGUGUUCCCGAUUUCUGGGCCAGUGUAAUGAUUAUUGAAAUUAUAUUCCUGCAGUUACCUUCUCAGGAACUAGGCUUUGUCGCCUGUCAUGCUUCAAAGGCGUCAAGUGACAGUUAACAUAUGACAAUGUUAGUGCAAUAUGUCUAAAAUAAGUUAUAAUAUGAUAUUUACUUAUCUCUUCACCCUGCUAUGUUCCUUUCUUUCUUUCCUUUGUGUAAAGGUUUAUUACAUUAUGUAUUUUUUAAUUGUGUUGCCUCUCUCUCUCCAACAAUGAGCUCUUACCGCCAAAACCAGCUGAGUUCAUCAAUUUGCAUUCUUCGUCUGUAGGCCUUGUACAAAUUAAUGUCUACUUGAAAGGCUUUGUACAAAUCAAUGUCUACUUGAAGUCUCUCUCGCUGGUGCAUCUCUGUUUGGAGCACAAUCGAUUGGAAUGAGGAGCCAUAUAUGACAAUUUCAAGUUGUAUAUGGAGAACAAUCAAUUAGAAACCAUAUAUGAAGCCGUAUACUCCAUCAACUGUAUACCGCAAUGAGAAGCUGCUUAGAUGGGCUUAUACUUAAUUUGUAUGCAGCAUUUCACUUGCCACUGUAGUCGCUCUCUUGUUACUAGCAACCUUGGUCGCAUUGUAUUUCUUUUGUCCAUGUGCAUUUAACCAGUUGUCUUGGUCUACUGUGAAACCAACCUUUUAUUUAGUUUGUGCUUAUGGAUUGUGGAAGACUGUUAUGUUUGAUGUUUUUCUAUUGAAUUUCUUCAUCUUAGUACACCCAUGAGGUCCCCUGAUAACAAUUUUGUCCAAGAGUCUUUCGUUAUUGCAAUUUCUGAUGAGCAUAUAAGACAUUGUGCUGUUGUUGGUAGCGCAAGAAGGUGGUAUGACAUCGAUGGUUUAUGCAAUUGACAGAUGAUUUUGGUAGAGUUAGUGCCAUUUUUGUUUCAUGCUCGUGCAUUGGAUGCUUGUAGCUUUCCUUUUGUUGUCAAGAUAUGUCAUUGUAUAUUUUUCCUGAUUGUCGAAAAUGGCUUCCUGUGCAGUUUAGUGGUGCGUGGAUUAAGAUUUCAGCCAUGGGUGACUUUGACUUCAUAGCUAGGGCAUAUGUGAAAGUCACAGGAAAGUGGGAUCGCUUGGACAUCACAAGCAAUUUGUGAUGCUGAGGAUCUUGUAGAGAAUUUCAGCUGGCUGCGUCGCUGUGAUUGUGGAUAACUUUUUCCGGAUGGAAAGGAAAGUGAAUUCCAAUAUUAUCAAAGCAAAAUUGGUGAAGUUGGAUGAGGAUUGGAGUUGGCGUGUAACCUACUUACUCACAUAUGGCAUGCUCAUGAUUUUUCAGGGUACAAAUAUAGUGAAGUUCUAUUACAUAUAUGCAUGUGAUAUUCACUAUACUUUUUCUCAUUGCCCAUUACUUCACAUGCAAUAUAACCUAUUAUGCAGCAACCAAGGUGAUAUGCAGGGCCAAGGUGAUAAAAGAACUUCUCAGUUCACAAAUGAAAGUGAGUUUUGACUUCUGAUGACAUUACACUGAUCAUAUUCUGGUGAGAUGUUGAUGACAGGAAGAAUUAUUAUUGUUGUUCAAGGUAGCUGCAACUAUGCACAUGAUGCAAGAAUUAUAUUUCUGUAGAGGUAGCUGCAACUAUGCACGUCAGUUUGAUCCUCCUAACUAAAAAUAAAAUUUAAUCUUCUUGGCAGAUUCACUUUUCUAUAAACUAAUUUCCGGUGUAGUUUGAAAAAAAAAGCAAAAGACUCGGAUACGAUCAUAGGACUACAACAUGAAGUUUGAGGAGUGUCCCAUAUCCCAUCAUCAUUCUCUCAGUUUUUACGACAUGAUUCUCCAUGAUGAUCUUAGAUAUACCUAGGAAGAUCAAAUUACAGAAAAAAAAACCUUGGAAUGGUUCUUUUGAUUUACCUUCGGUUCUUAUUAACGAUAUAGUUAUCUAUAUUAUCAUUUCGAAGUGGUGUUCCUGGAACAUUAAAUUGAUUAUAAAUACACUAGAUAUUAAUUUUGUGCAUAUCCAUGUCCCACCCACAACGCAAAGCAAGACUGCACAUAUACGUUAACGAUUGUGCCAGCAAGAUUAGUACGCACAAUCACGCACACAGAGGAGGCGCACACAAUAAGAGUCGGGAAGGGGUGGCCACUUGCCUAUGCCACUCGCCAAUGAUAUAUUUUGGAUCUUGCUGCUUGAUUUUGGCAUCUAUAUGUUGCAGACCACGUAUUACAGGUACUAUUUCAAUCUCUUGGUUAUUUCAGAUUGCACAUAUAAACCGGGUGAUGGAAGAUGUACUGUACUAAGCGGUUGAAUUGUGGUUGUCGAAGCCUUUAUUAGAAUGCUAAAAGCUUCAGACCUUUGCUUUUCUUCCGGAGUUUCGCGGAACUGAACUUCUGUAAAGUUCAUCAACCAGAUCCUACUCUUAGAUAUUUUGUUUAAGUAAAAUUUGCUUGAAGUGAUUAAGGAUAUCGGGCCUCUAAAAGAAAAGUAAGAAUCUAAAUUCCUAAGUAAUUAUAACAACUCAAGUGUGAUCUUCUUGUUGCUUAAUUUUCCAGUUAAGAUAUCUUUUUGAUAUAGAUUGCAAGGUUUCGUUCUCGCAUAAAACUCCCAAUCCUAUGAUCAUCAUAUGUUUCCUGUAUGAUGUUUUUGCUGGAAGGUCUGAUGUAUAUCUCUUUUCUAAAAAUGUCACUGAUAGUUUGUUUUGCCGAACAUAUUAGGUUAACUGGAUUCCAUCUCAAUUCCUGUAAAUCUCUCUAAAAAGGUCACUGCCAAGGUGGUGUGGAGUGAGGAGAUGUAGAGAUAGAUGAGGACGACGGAAGGAAGCAGUAGCAGCUCGAUCCAGGAACCAACAGCUGGCUCGCUCCUAGGUCUUCAACCCGCUCCCCCCUCCUUUCAGUCUACCGCGUGCAGCAGGUGGGUAUACUCAGCUUCGUUGCUCCCACUCAUCUUCCUCCCUCCCUCUCUAUCUUAUACAGGUUCCAUCUAAUGGCAGCACUCUCUCCCUUUUCCAUCUCUAUUUAGUAGAUGGUGGAGCAACCAAGCAUACGUACACAUUGAAAUUGAUUCUAUUGAGCUUAUUCACAGUUAUCCAUCAAGGAAUGGUUGUAAUAAAUAUUUUAUAUCUCUACAUCCAAGAGAUCAAGAGAUCCUAAUGUUAUAGCAUACGUCCAUAUUGAUGUACAUGAGCGGGACUAAGAAUUAAACAUGGUAGAGGAAUGUGCCAAGACAAGAUGAGUGCACACAAGCCCGCCUCAGGAGGCGCCCCAGCCUCUAGUUAUGUAUGAUGACGUGCUAUAAACUUGACACUGUGAAUUGUGAUGGGUUAGUAAAUCAUGAGCCACUCAGUU